rnacentral:misc_RNA from 1 species
ACUAUAAUUACUCAAUGGACAAGGUAAGUUGCAGAAUGUUUUCCCUAAAUCAUCUCCAUUUUAUUGUAUUUGAUCAAAGCAUGAAUAUUUCUUCCCUGUGAGGGAAAAAAGUUGCAGCCUUUUCCUAAUUGCUUGUAUAAAAUUGAUAAUAACAUACACUCAGAUGCAUGCAUAUUAUAAAUUUGUGGUCUGUUGGCCACUGGAAGACCUCACUGCAUUGAGCAUAAGGCUGCCUAACUUUUUAUUGACAUUGAUUCUUUUAAGUUUGCUGAUUUUCUAAUAUUGGAUGGUUCCUUGUUACCACAUGUUACCUUUUCUUUUAGUG